AGGACGAACGCUGGCGGCGUGCUUAACACAUGCAAGUCGAGCGGUAAGGCCUUUCGGGGUACACGAGCGGCGAACGGGUGAGUAACACGUGGGUGAUCUGCCCUGCACUCUGGGAUAAGCCUGGGAAACUGGGUCUAAUACCGGAUAUGACCUGCUCUCGCAUGGGGGUGGGUGGAAAGAUUUAUCGGUGCAGGAUGGGCCCGCGGCCUAUCAGCUUGUUGGUGGGGUAAUGGCCUACCAAGGCGACGACGGGUAGCCGACCUGAGAGGGUGACCGGCCACACUGGGACUGAGACACGGCCCAGACUCCUACGGGAGGCAGCAGUGGGAAUAUUGCACAAUGGGCGAAAGCCUGAUGCAGCGACGCCGCGUGAGGAUGAAGGCCUUCGGGUUGUAAACCUCUUUCAGCAGGACGAAGCGCAAGUGACGGUACCUGCGAGAAGAAGACACCGGACUAACUACGU
rnacentral:rRNA from 1 species